GUGGUGGAAAACCAGAACCUUUAUCUUGAAAAAAUUAGAGUGUUCAAAGCAGUCUUAUGUCUGAAUAUAUUAGCAUUGAAUAAUAAAAUAGAAUAGUGGUCCUGUUUUGUUGGUUUCUAAAUCACCGUAAUGAUUAAUAGGAAUAGUUGGGGGCAUUAGUAUUCAAUUGUCAGAGAUGAAAUUCUUGAAUUUAUUGAAGACUAACUUCUGCGAAAGCAUUUGCCAAGGAUGUUUUCAUUAAUCAAGAACGAAAGUUAGGGGAUCGAAGACAAUCAGAUACUGCCGUAGUCUUAACCAUAAACUAUGCUAACUAGGGAUUGGACGAUAUUAAUUUUUCUUGACUUGUUUAGCGCCUUACG
rnacentral:rRNA from 1 species